ACUUGACCGCUAUCGGGCUGAGACUAAGCCAUGCAAGUCGUACGUUUCAGGCCACGCUGAAACGUGGCGUACUGCUCAGUAACACGUUGUCAAUCUGCCCUCAGGACAGGGACAACCUCGGGAAACUGAGGAUAAUCCCCGAUAGACGACACGGCCUGGAAUGGUGUGCCUUCCAAAAGACCCAAUAGCAUGCUUAUUGGCGUCGCCUGAGGAUGAGACUGCGUCUGAUUAGGUAGUUGGUGGGGUAGAGGUGUAACAAUCCAAAACAAAAAACCAAUACAAAAAACUGAGUGCCCAAAUCACAAACUGGGCAGUCAAAAGUAUUGGUGGAAUGUCACACUACAAGCCCACCAAGCCGAUAAUCAGUACGGGCCACGGGAGUGGUAGCCCGGAGAUGGGGACUGAGACAAAGCCCCAGGCCCUACGGGGCGCAGCAGGCGCGAAAACUCCGCAAUGCACGAAAGUGUGACGGGGUCAGCCCGAGUGCCAACUGAAAAUGUUGGCUUUUCACCCGCGUAAAUAACUGGUGGAAUAAGGGGAGGGCAAGGCUGGUGCCAGCCGCCGCGGUAAAACCAGCUCCUCGAGUAGUCAAGACGAUUAUUGGGCCUAAAGCGUCCGUAGCCGGCCUAGUAAGUCUCUGGUUAAAUCUAACGGCUCAACCGUUAGGCUGCUAGAGAUACUGCUAGACUCGGAGGCGGGAUAGGUCGAGGGUACUCUCAGGGUAGGGGUGAAAUCCUAUAAUCCUGAGGGGACCACCAGUGGCGAAGGCGCUCGACUGGAACGCGCUCGACGGUGAGGGACGAAAGCCAGGGGAGCGAACCGGAUUAGAUACCCGGGUAGUCCUGGCUGUAAACGAUGUGGACUAAGUGUUAGGGCGGCCACGAGCUGCCCUAGUGCUGGAGGGAAGCCGUUAAGUCCACCGCCUGGGGAGUACGGCCGCAAGGCUGAAACUUAAAGGAAUUGGCGGGGGAGCACCACAAGGGGUGAAGCCUGCGGUUU
rnacentral:rRNA from 1 species